rnacentral:RNase_P_RNA from 2 species
AGAGUUGGCGAGGCGGUUGCAGAUUAGUUUUUCAACUAGUUUGAGGAAAGUCCGGGCUUCCGAAAGACCAGACUUGCUGGAUAACUCCCAGUGCGUGCGAGCGUGAGGAUAGUGCCACAGAAAAAUACCGCCUUUUCAAUCAACAAUGAACAAUUAUCAAUUGUCAGUUUUUACUGUUCGUUGAUAAUUGGUAAUUGAUAAUUGGCAAAGGUAAGGGUGCAAAGGUGAGGUAAGAGCUCACCAGCAGCAUCGAGAGGUGCUGGCUCGGUAAACCCCGGUUGGAAGCAAGGUGAGAGGAACUAUGGUUGGUCUUUUACCGGUUCCGCUUUAUGAGAGCCGCUUGAGGCGUUUGGUAACAAGCGUCCCAGAUAGAUAAUCGCCCUUUAAAUGUAGAAGAUUUCUACAUUUUUAGAACAGAACCCGGCUUAUGUCCGACUCUCUUC